UCACAAUCAAUAAUCAGAAAAUAUUUUGUUUACUGUAUCCCUCUUAGUUUAAUUAAACUUCAAAUUUUGCUUCACAUAGUCUGGAAAAAAACAUAAGUUGUGCUGUCU